GGGUUGUGAGGUUAAGCGACUAAGCGUACACGGUGGAUGCCCUGGCAGUCAGAGGCGAUGAAGGACGUGCUAAUCUGCGAUAAGCGUCGGUAAGGUGAUAUGAACCGUUAUAACCGGCGAUUUCCGAAUGGGGAAACCCAGUGUGUUUCGACACACUAUCAUUAACUGAAUCCAUAGGUUAAUGAGGCGAACCGGGGGAACUGAAACAUCUAAGUACCCCGAGGAAAAGAAAUCAACCGAGAUUCCCCCAGUAGCGGCGAGCGAACGGGGAGCAGCCCAGAGCCUGAAUCAGUAUGUGUGUUAGUGGAAGCGUCUGGAAAGGCGCGCGAUACAGGGUGACAGCCCCGUACACAAAAAUGCACAUGCUGUGAGCUCGAUGAGUAGGGCGGGACACGUGGUAUCCUGUCUGAAUAUGGGGGGACCAUCCUCCAAGGCUAAAUACUCCUGACUGACCGAUAGUGAACCAGUACCGUGAGGGAAAGGCGAAAAGAACCCCGGCGAGGGGAGUGAAAAAGAACCUGAAACCGUGUACGUACAAGCAGUGGGAGCACGCUUAGGCGUGUGACUGCGUACCUUUUGUAUAAUGGGUCAGCGACUUAUAUUCUGUAGCAAGGUUAACCGAAUAGGGGAGCCGAAGGGAAACCGAGUCUUAACUGGGCGUUAAGUUGCAGGGUAUAGACCCGAAACCCGGUGAUCUAGCCAUGGGCAGGUUGAAGGUUGGGUAACACUAACUGGAGGACCGAACCGACUAAUGUUGAAAAAUUAGCGGAUGACUUGUGGCUGGGGGUGAAAGGCCAAUCAAACCGGGAGAUAGCUGGUUCUCCCCGAAAGCUAUUUAGGUAGCGCCUCGUGAAUUCAUCUCCGGGGGUAGAGCACUGUUUCGGCAAGGGGGUCAUCCCGACUUACCAACCCGAUGCAAACUGCGAAUACCGGAGAAUGUUAUCACGGGAGACACACGGCGGGUGCUAACGUCCGUCGUGAAGAGGGAAACAACCCAGACCGCCAGCUAAGGUCCCAAAGUCAUGGUUAAGUGGGAAACGAUGUGGGAAGGCCCAGACAGCCAGGAUGUUGGCUUAGAAGCAGCCAUCAUUUAAAGAAAGCGUAAUAGCUCACUGGUCGAGUCGGCCUGCGCGGAAGAUGUAACGGGGCUAAACCAUGCACCGAAGCUGCGGCAGCGACGCUUAUGCGUUGUUGGGUAGGGGAGCGUUCUGUAAGCCUGUGAAGGUGUGCUGUGAGGCAUGCUGGAGGUAUCAGAAGUGCGAAUGCUGACAUAAGUAACGAUAAAGCGGGUGAAAAGCCCGCUCGCCGGAAGACCAAGGGUUCCUGUCCAACGUUAAUCGGGGCAGGGUGAGUCGACCCCUAAGGCGAGGCCGAAAGGCGUAGUCGAUGGGAAACAGGUUAAUAUUCCUGUACUUGGUGUUACUGCGAAGGGGGGACGGAGAAGGCUAUGUUGGCCGGGCGACGGUUGUCCCGGUUUAAGCGUGUAGGCUGGUUUUCCAGGCAAAUCCGGAAAAUCAAGGCUGAGGCGUGAUGACGAGGCACUACGGUGCUGAAGCAACAAAUGCCCUGCUUCCAGGAAAAGCCUCUAAGCAUCAGGUAACAUCAAAUCGUACCCCAAACCGACACAGGUGGUCAGGUAGAGAAUACCAAGGCGCUUGAGAGAACUCGGGUGAAGGAACUAGGCAAAAUGGUGCCGUAACUUCGGGAGAAGGCACGCUGAUAUGUAGGUGAAGUCCCUUGCGGAUGGAGCUGAAAUCAGUCGAAGAUACCAGCUGGCUGCAACUGUUUAUUAAAAACACAGCACUGUGCAAACACGAAAGUGGACGUAUACGGUGUGACGCCUGCCCGGUGCCGGAAGGUUAAUUGAUGGGGUCAGCGCAAGCGAAGCUCUUGAUCGAAGCCCCGGUAAACGGCGGCCGUAACUAUAACGGUCCUAAGGUAGCGAAAUUCCUUGUCGGGUAAGUUCCGACCUGCACGAAUGGCGUAAUGAUGGCCAGGCUGUCUCCACCCGAGACUCAGUGAAAUUGAACUCGCUGUGAAGAUGCAGUGUACCCGCGGCAAGACGGAAAGACCCCGUGAACCUUUACUAUAGCUUGACACUGAACAUUGAGCCUUGAUGUGUAGGAUAGGUGGGAGGCUUUGAAGUGUGGACGCCAGUCUGCAUGGAGCCGACCUUGAAAUACCACCCUUUAAUGUUUGAUGUUCUAACGUUGACCCGUAAUCCGGGUUGCGGACAGUGUCUGGUGGGUAGUUUGACUGGGGCGGUCUCCUCCUAAAGAGUAACGGAGGAGCACGAAGGUUGGCUAAUCCUGGUCGGACAUCAGGAGGUUAGUGCAAUGGCAUAAGCCAGCUUGACUGCGAGCGUGACGGCGCGAGCAGGUGCGAAAGCAGGUCAUAGUGAUCCGGUGGUUCUGAAUGGAAGGGCCAUCGCUCAACGGAUAAAAGGUACUCCGGGGAUAACAGGCUGAUACCGCCCAAGAGUUCAUAUCGACGGCGGUGUUUGGCACCUCGAUGUCGGCUCAUCACAUCCUGGGGCUGAAGUAGGUCCCAAGGGUAUGGCUGUUCGCCAUUUAAAGUGGUACGCGAGCUGGGUUUAGAACGUCGUGAGACAGUUCGGUCCCUAUCUGCCGUGGGCGCUGGAGAACUGAGGGGGGCUGCUCCUAGUACGAGAGGACCGGAGUGGACGCAUCACUGGUGUUCGGGUUGUCAUGCCAAUGGCACUGCCCGGUAGCUAAAUGCGGAAGAGAUAAGUGCUGAAAGCAUCUAAGCACGAAACUUGCCCCGAGAUGAGUUCUCCCUGACCCUUUAAGGGUCCUGAAGGAACGUUGAAGACGACGACGUUGAUAGGCCGGGUGUGUAAGCGCAGCGAUGCGUUGAGCUAACCGGUACUAAUGAACCGUGAGGCUUAACCUUACAACGCCGAAGGUGUUU
rnacentral:rRNA from 1 species